CUCACUUGCUAGGGCAGAGCCCAAGGCCAAGAUAAAAGGGCCUCUGGACCAGGGAACCUUCAUUCACUUCCUCCUGAGGUGGUGAUAGACCCUGUGCUGCUUGUGAACUCGCUCCUGAAAGCCCCCUGCCUGCCCACCGAGAUGUCCUGCCAGCAGAGCCAGCAGUGUGUCCCCAAGUGCCCUCCCAAGUGCUGCACCCCAAAAUGCCCUCCUAAGUGUCCCCCCAAGUGCCCUCCAGUGUCUUCCUGCUGCAGUGUCAGCUCUGGGGGCUGCUGUGGCUCUGGGGGUGGGGGCUGCUGUGGCUCUGGGGGUGGUGGCUGCUGUAGCUCUGGGGGUGGUGGCUGCUGCCUGAGCCACCACAGGCCCCGCAGGUCUCACCACUUCAGACACAGACGCUCUGACUGCUGCAGCUCAGGGGGCUCCAGCUGCUGCGGAGCGGGCUCUGGAGGGGGCUCCAGCUGCUGUGGAGGAGGCAGUGGUCAGUCCUCUGGAGGCUGCUGUGGAGGGCGCUCCAGCUAUGGUCAGUCCUCCGGAGGCUGCUGCGGAGGGGGCUCCAGCUAUGGUCAGUCCUCCGGAGGCUGCUGCGGAGGGGGCUCCAGCUAUGGUCAGUCCUCUGGAGGCUGCUGCUGAAGUGGACCCUGAGCCAAGAAGACCUACCUCAGACACUGAGAGAUCCCAAAGGAGACUGGGAGCUUUUGAAAACAAUAUUCUCCUUGAGCUCCAGAAACUCCAGUCCUCUCCUGAAUCCCCAUCCGUGGCCAUGGACCCCAUGUCUGUGGCUGCCCUCACAUGCCCAUGCCAAAGCCCUUCAGCCACAUCAUGUCCUGUCUUCUUACGGUGCUCUCUGGCUGAUGUAAAACAAUAAAACAAGGAAUCUGUUUAACAA